UCAAUUUUUUCAGUCUCUCCUUGCAUGGACGGUUCCCUCGCAAUCUCACCAAUCUCAACGGCGUUCGCAACAACAUCAUCGCAAUGAAACCUACGCCAUUUCUCUCUCAGUUGACUCUUUUGGGCUUCUUCUUGUUUGUUUCCUUUAGGGUUCUGAUAUGGGCUGUGGAGGAUCCAAGGUUGAUGAUUUGCCGCUGGUAACUCGUUGCAGAGAUAGAAAAGAACUUAUCAAGGC
rnacentral:misc_RNA from 1 species